GACCCGCUAGCUCAGCAGGCAGAGCACCUGCCUUUUAAGCAGGGUGUCCGCAGUUCGAAUCUGCGGCGGGUCACCA
rnacentral:tRNA from 1 species